GACGAACGCUGGCGGCGUGCUUAACACAUGCAAGUCGAACGGAAAGGCCCUGCGUUCGUGGGGUGCUCGAGUGGCGAACGGGUGAGUAACACGUGAGUAACCUGCUCUUGACUUUGGGAUAACUUCAGGAAACUGGGGCUAAUACCGGAUAGGAGCUCCUGCUCCAUGGUGGGGGUUGGAAAGUCUCGGCGGUUGGGGAUGGACUCGCGGCUUACCAGCUUGUUGGUGGGGUAGUGGCUUACCAAGGCUUUGACGGGUAGCCGGCCUGAGAGGGUGACCGGGCACAUUGGGACUGAGAUACGGCCCAGACGCCUACGGGAGGCAGCAGUGGGGAAUAUUGCACAAUGGGCGGAAGCCUGAUGCAGCGACGCCGCGUGCGGGAUGACGGCCUUCGGGUUGUGAACCGCUUUAGCCUGUGACGAAGCGUGAGUGACGGUAAUGGGUAAAGAAGCACCGGCUAACUACGUG
rnacentral:rRNA from 1 species